rnacentral:pre_miRNA from 9 species
GGAGCUUAUCAGAAUCUCCAGGGGUACUGAUAAUUUUAAAAAGUCCCCCAGGCGUGAUUCUGAUUUGCUUC